rnacentral:rRNA from 1 species
UAGAAUUCCAGGUGUAGCGGUGAAAUGCGUAGAGAUCUGGAGGAAUACCGGUGGCGAAGGCGGCCCCCUGGAUGAAGACUGACGCUCAGGUGCGAAAGCGUGGGGAGCAAACAGGAUUAGAUACCCUGGUAGUCCACGCCGUAAACGAUGUCGACUUGGAGGUUGUGCCCUUGAGGCGUGGCUUCCGGAGCUAACGCGUUAAGUCGACCGCCUGGGGAGUACGGCCGCAAGGUUAAAACUCAAAUGAAUUGACGGGGGCCCGCACAAGCGGUGGAGCAUGUGGUUUAAUUCGAUGCAACGCGAAGAACC